UAUAAGUAGAUUGCAGCCUUUAUAGGCUAUGGCUGGUGGUUAUUUAAUCACCGGCCU
rnacentral:sRNA from 1 species